rnacentral:piRNA from 1 species
UCAGAAGAAAAAAUGAACAUGCUCCA